UGGCUCUCUGGGGCUUUCUGUGAAGAAGGAAAAGCAAGUCCCAAGGCAGGAGUGUGCACGGCAUGUCGGAGGAGGAGCAGCGCGCGCAGGCUGAACAGCGAUGAGACAGAAGAUACGUUAUGUCAGAUGGAACUAGGAAAUACUCCUGGGUGGCCUCUGUGGAACAGCCUCACUCAACAAAUGAGGAAACUGAGACUCAGACACUUGGCGGAAACUUGACUAGGAUGUCCCCACUCCCAGGCCAGCGUGCUCACUACCACGCUCUGCGUGUCCACCAGCAUGGUGGAACGGUGCAGUCGUUCACACAGCCUGAAGCACGGGAUUAUCGUGCUAUUCAUACGUGAAACGUGAACUUCUAAGCAACCACCUUGGAAAUCUGUUCACCAGUUUCUUAAAAAAGAAAUCAAACCUACAUGCGCACUAUAGCCCACCAGUUCUACCCCCGCCCGAUAGGAUCGCGCAAUAUCAAUACUCUGUCUGGGUUGUGAAGAGGACUUGUGAGCCCAGGACUCUGCCAGAGUGAGGUUGCGGUGGACUGUUCUGGAAUCCAGAGCUUGGGGGAAUGGCUUCCUGUUCCCGUCUGUGCCGACGGCCGGGUCAGCCAGCCUCCCGUGUUCUCUGCCAGCAACGAGCUGUCAGGCUGGGCCCAACCGCACUCUUGUAAUAGCAGGUUUGGAAAGCCAUUUCCUCUCGGCCCUGCAGCCACAUCACAGGGCCCAACCAUACCCUCUGGCCUGCUUCCCCCCAUCCCUGACUGCCUCAUGGAGCCCACCAAAGAGCCUUCCUUUUCCUCAUCCUCAGAGACUCUUCCGGUACGUUCUGGGCCCAAGCUGCCCUUGACAUCCCUUGAGCCUCGUGGGCUUUCUGGCAUUCUAGGUCUGCUCCCCUGGGCCAUUGCAGCAAUCCUUUCUUCAACUUGUUUUUUAACUGCCAUUUCUGUUUUCUUCAUUUCUCCUGCCAAAAUGUCAAAUCAGGGCCUCUCCAGAUGCCAACAUCUGGUAUUAAAUUGCAAGUCUGGAUAACCUUCCAAAACAAUGUUUUCUAAGAGCCGGGGAACUUCUUUUGCUCACAUUAUUCAUCUGUUCAAAUUGUAUCAAGUUCUUUCAUUGAUUUCUCUACUGAAAUAUAUCUUUCAACACGUCAAGGCUAUCCUAUUUAAGAAAGGCCUAACGCGGGCAUCAGGCCCCAAGUUGCUUGGAGAAUAUGUGACCUGUUGUUUUGUUUUGUUCUCUCUACUUUGCCAUUAAAAAAAAAAAAUUA